CUCCCCUCUUAGUUCUUCCUCAUCGGAAGAUCCUCGCAUAAGCCAUCGUCUUCGUUUAAGCUCCCUGUGCCCGCCGGAAUUAGAGGCGAACCUGACCCGUGUAACUGGAGUGAGAUUUAGAAGUGAUAAGAGGAAUUCCAAUAUCAACAUAUCUCAUUGGAGAGUCAGUGUCACAGAAGGCAAUUGUUGGAAUAUUUCCCAGAGCAGAUUCCUUGAUAGGCUGCAGUUCUAGGAUCAGUGAGGAUGAGAAGACGUGGCUCACUAAAGGAUGUCUGAAGCUGAUUGGUGAAGGUUCCAGGGGUGUGCCUUCCAGCAAUAGCAUGAGCACCUGUGUACUGAGCAAACUUCAAGACAGCUCUCUGACCAUAUGGCCUUGCAGAUUGGACAAUAAUAUCCUGAGGAUUCUCAAUGGCAACGAUGACCCUAGCAGCUAGCUGAAGUUUCUCCCAAGUUUUACCAAGAUUGAUGAUGAAGAUACCUGGAUAAUUAAUACGUUAUGAGUUUCAGAAACAAUUCAUUGAUGUAAGAAGUCAUAAAAGCUGCAAUGGUUAUAUAUAAAAAAAGGUGAGAGAAAAAACAAGGAAGAACACAGAAAUUACUUAAUAUAGCCACAGUUCAAUCAAAGAAAUAAUUCAAAAAUAUAUCAAAUUUGUAAUAAAAGCAGUACUUAUAUGGAA